rnacentral:rRNA from 1 species
AUGCCAAAGAGAGGGAGGAGGUCGGGUGUGGGGAAGGUCGAGUAUGAGGCGAAGAAGGUAAGGAUUGCGUUGUUGCAAGAGGAGGUAGCCCGGUUAGAAAGAGAGAUUGUGGUGGAAAAACAGAGAGCAAAAGAGACCAAUGAACGCUUUGAGAAGGCCAAGGAAGAGAGCGUUGGAACUGUUUCUAGGUAUCUCUUCAUGAACAUAGAGGAUCUUAACCAUGAGGAGUGCAAGGAGUACUACCAAGAGUUGAUGCGGAUCAACCAAGAAAUUGCAAAUCGGUUGUCCUUCGAGUCCACGGGCUCAAGCAUGCCAACCCCGCAGCUACAUGUGUCUUCAGUGGAAUCACAAACGAAGGAAGAAAAGUAG